UGCGCCAAUCAUGGAGUGCUUAGCAGUCGCCUGCUCGACCAGCCACAGUGAGUCAUUGGAGGCAGUGCUGCAGCACCAACAAUCACUCAUUAGAAGAAAGGAAUGAGGUGGCCAUCAACACCCUGCUGCCAGUUCAACACUCCUCAGUCAAAACACAAGAUGCCUGCUUGGCGGCAAAGUCAAUCCAGUUUUAGACAAGAGUUUUGUACCGUAGACUUCGUGUGUGGUUUACUGCAAAUAAAUGUUUAUGCUGA